rnacentral:sRNA from 1 species
UUUAUGCCACCAUACUUGUGUCCCCUGUUCAUCUUAUUUUGAACAAUUAGAAAACUCUGGCAAGUACUUUUUAUUUUUUUUAUUUUUUAUUUUUUUGAGACAGUCUCUCACUCCAUCACCCAGGCUGGAAUAUAGUGGCACCAUCUUGGCUCACUGCAACCUCUGCCUCCCAAGUUCAAGCAGUUCUCAUGCCUCAGCCUCCUGAGUAGCUAGAAUUAUAGGUGCCCACGACCAGUCCUGGCUAAUUUUUAUAUUUUUAUUAGAGAUGGGGUUUCACCAUGUUGGCCAGGCUGAUCUCAAACUCCUGGCCUUAAGUAAUCUGCCUGCCUCAGCCUCCCAAAGUGCUAGGAUUACAGGCAUGAACCACCGUGCCCAGCCUCUGGCAAGUACUUUUUAACUGAGGAAAGAAAAAAUGUAAAAAUAUUUUACUGACUUUUCAGGAGAUUCCAGGUAUCCAUUACUUGGCCAGCCACUGCAGUAUAAUCCUCCUGCUGUUCUGCACGGACACAUUCCAAACCAACAGGGUCAGCCUGGCAGCAGGCAUGGAAACCGAGGAAGGAGACAAGCUAAAAAAGCUGCAUCCACGGACCUUGGAGCAGGAG